CCUACGGGGGGCAGCAGUGAGGAAUAUUGGUCAAUGGACGCAAGUCUGAACCAGCCAAGUAGCGUGCAGGAUGACGGCCCUCCGGGUUGUAAACUGCUUUUAUUUGGGAAUAAAACGGGGCUCGUGAGCCCCGUAUCGUAUGUACUAUCAGAAAAAGCACCGGCUAAUUCCGGGCCAGCAGCCGCGGUAAUACGGAAGGUCCGGGCGUUAUCCGGUUUUAUUGGUUUGAAAGGGAGUGUAGGACGGCUUUUAAGUUAGCUGUGAAAGUCCGCGGCUCAACCGUGGCAUUGCAGUUGAAACUGGAGGCCUUGAGUGCACACAGGGCUGGCGGAAUUCAUGGUGUAGCGGUGAAAGGCUUAGAUAUCACGAAGAACUCCGAUCGCGAAGGCAAGUGUCCGGGGUGCAACUGACGCUGAGGCUCGAAAGUGCGGGUAUCAAACAGGAUUAGAUACCCGUGUAGUC
rnacentral:rRNA from 1 species